GAUGAACGCUAGCGGGAGGCCUAAUACAUGCAAGUCGAGCGGUAGAGUGACUUCGGUUGCUUGAGAGCGGCGCACGGGUGAGUAACGCGUACAUGACCUACCUUUAAGACUGGGAUAGCCCUGGGAAACUGGGAUUAAUACCGGAUGUGAUAAUACGUAUAGAGAUGUAUUAUUAAAGUUGAGGCGCUUAGAGAUGGAUGUGCGUCUGAUUAGCUAGUUGGUAGGGUAACGGCCUACCAAGGCGACGAUCAGUAGGGGCGUGAGAGCGUGGCCCCCCACACGGGUACUGAGACACGGACCCGACUCCUACGGGAGGCAGCAGUAAGGAUAUUGGUCAAUGGACGGAAGUCUGAACCAGCCAUCCCGCGUGCAGGAUGACUGCCCUAUGGGUUGUAAACUGCUUUUAGCAGAGACGAAACGCCUUCAUUUAUGAGGGUCUGACGGUAUCUGCAGAAUAAGCACCGGCUAACUCCGUGCCAGCAGCCGCGGUAAU
rnacentral:rRNA from 1 species